GUGCUCACUUCAGCAGCACAUAUACUAAAAUUGGAACAAUACAGAGAAGAUUAGCAUGACACCUGCUCAACGAUGUCAUACAGGAAAUUCAGGAAACAUCCCAUAUUAUU
ensembl:snRNA U6 U6 spliceosomal RNA